UAGCCGUAAACGAUACUCGCUAGGUGUCGGCCACGGUGCGACCGUUGUCGGUGCCGUAGGGAAGCCGUGAAGCGAGCCACCUGGGAAGUACGGCCGCAAGGCUGAAACUUAAAGGAAUUGGCGGGGGAGCACCACAACGGGUGGAGCUUGCGGUUUAAUUGGAUUCAACGCCGGAAAUCUUACCGGGACCGACAGCAACAUGAAGGCCAGGCUGAAGACUUUGCCGGAUUAGCUGAGAGGUGGUGCAUGGCGGUAGUCGUGU
rnacentral:rRNA from 1 species